UACGUAGGGGGCGAGCGUUGUCCGGAAUCAUUGGGCGUAAAGCGCGUGUAGGCGGCCCGGUAAGUCCGCUGUGAAGGUCCAGGGCUCAACCCUGGGAUGCCGGUGGAUACUGUCGGGCUCGAGUCCGGAAGAGGCGAGUGGAAUUCCUGGUGUAGCGGUGAAAUGCGCAGAUAUCAGAAGGAACACCAAUGGCGAAGGCAGCUCGCUGGGACGUGACUGACGCUGAGACGCGAAAGCGUGGGGAGCAAACAGG
rnacentral:rRNA from 1 species